rnacentral:lncRNA from 1 species
CGCCCUUAUAGACCCAGGGAAGGGCGAGUCUUAAAGGUGCCGCGCCUAACGGAAGGCAGGACCGUGGGAAUCUAGGAGAAUCCCUCCCUCUGCCCCAAAAGAAGAGAUUCAGAGCCAGGAGCGGGUGAAGAUAUGCGGAAAGAAUGGCAAGAGGGCUCGGUGAAGAAAGGACUGCAGUGUGUGGCAUCACACUCCCUUCCCCCCAACCACACACACCCACACUCACGGGGGCAUGGAUCACACACACAGCCCUCACACCUAAACCAAGAGAGGCGGCGGCAUAGUAUGGAAGUGAACACGGUGACUACGGACGGCCCUAGCUGUCAAGCCCCUGAUUCCCAUAAUUAUAAUCUUGCUCCAGGGACCGGUUGGAGCCGAGAGCUGUGUGACCUUGAAUAAGUCGCUUCUUUUUUCUCAAUCUUAAUUUUCUUAUCUGCAAAAGAGGAGGGCAAGAGUAGACCUCCCGCAAGUACACCUCCUCUCCUCUUCCCCCAAACACCUCUCCAUCUCGACUGGGUCACAAGAACUCUGGCCCAACCAAACCCUUCAGCGCCCCACAAGCACCCUUCCACCAAAAGGGCAGCGGCUCUUGGAUCUUCCAAGAGCCAAGUAGGGGGCGCCCAGGAGCACCCCUCCAUGCUAGAGGACUCUCAGACUCAAGCUUCUCCCUCCUGGCCCAGGCUGGAGGAGCCUGGAAAGCUUGCGUUCUUGUUCCAGUGGGGCAGAUCUGAAUCACUCUCCAUCUGCAGAGACCCCAAUCCCCAACACAGUCACGAGCCCCUCUCCAAGCCCCCCAGCCUGCUGCUCCGUUUGGGAGGAUCGUGCCCCCACCUCCAGCAGUCUACUGGAGUGGGGGUGGGGCGAAAGCGGAAUCACUAAAGAACAACCUCCCCUCCCCGUUCCCGUCAGAGAAGUGGCCACAAGUGCCCCCACAGGACUUCCCACUGGAAAGGGAAGUGCCACACUCCCAGGCCUCCAUCCCAGUGAGGAGACUCAGCUUGAUCCGGCUGGCAGAGCUCUCAAACCCACCGGUCCGACGACCCCGCUUUACAGACGAGGAACCAGAGACGAGGAGUGUACACAGACCGGGAGCGGACACUGGGUUUUGUCCACGGUCGCAGUGGUUACAAAGCCGGGUCUAGAAUUGAGCAAUACCCACCAAGACUCUAUGGAGGCUUCUUUGAAGAAAAAUAAAUAAGCCAGGAUACAGACACACACCCCACCACCUUCAAGAGGAAGAAUGUAGGUCAGCAUCUUUGCCACUACUCUAUGUGAAACAGCCUAUGAUCUUGGCAAAAACUAGUAACCACAAGCCCAUCCCAUCCCACUAAAAAUCCCACCACCUUCCCAUAGCUCUCAGCUUCAGUAAGAAAAGCCAGCAAGAAAAGGACUUUCUUCCUCCUUUCAAUCUGCUCCCCGGCUGUUUGAAUUACACUUAAGACUUCACUGACAAACAUACAUCAGCUUUUGCUCCCACAAGGGCAGCGGAAGCCAAGCAGGGACUCUAAGUCUGCUUCACGCAUCAUUGACAGAACCAACCCUGUUCCAAUUGCUGAAGUCUUAAGAGCAGCAAUGACCUAGAAAUUGACAGUGGGGGGAGAACUGAAGGAAAGGAAACUGACAAACCAGUACACAGAAAACCCUAUUUCCAAAUACCAGGGGAAAGAGAGAGAAAGGAGGUAGAGGGGAAAGAGAUUUGGCCCCUUUGAAUCUGCAAAUGUGAUCUUGGCUCAGAGCCAUGGAGGAUACACAGCAGCCCCAUUGCGAGUCAAGCCAUGUUCCUGACUCAAACCCUACAGUUAAGAGGAAGGCGCCAAGCCUCAAACACAACGAGGUGGGGAGGCCGCUCCUUUUUGGGCAGGAUCCUACUGUGGACACAGAACAGACAGCAGCUGCCCACAGUGUGGAAACAAACUGUAAAGCAGUCACGUCUCUUAAGGCUGCAGCAUCCA